rfam:Botryobasidium botryosum FD-172 SS1 unplaced genomic scaffold BOTBOscaffold_67, whole genome shotgun sequence.
UCCGAUAUGGUGUAGUGGCUAACAUUAUCGCCUCUCAAGCAGGACGCGAUAGCCCGGGGUUCGAUUCCCCGUGUCGGAA